rnacentral:lncRNA from 1 species
GGAUUCACCUGAUGUGGAAGCUCGUCUGAAGAUGAUCCGCCAGAGAAGUUUAGUUUCAUGAAGGAUCUAGCGGGGGUCGGCCAGCGAUGGACUUCGAAUGGUGCUAGGGAGGUUCGACAGACGUCGGAGGUGAUCGAUCGUUGUAAGAAUCCAGCUGUCGAAGUCCGUCCAUCGUAGAAACCUGUUUGGGAUUCGGCUACGAAGAAGCUCGUCUAGGAUCCAGCUAUGAAGA